UCCCCAGUGGCCUAGUGGUCAGAGCAUCCGCCUCGGAUGCUGGAGGUUGUGGGUUCUAUCCCCGGCUGAGUCA